rnacentral:ncRNA from 1 species
CAACCUCAACUCAUAUGGGACUACCCCCUGAAUUUAAGCAUAUUAAUUAGGGGAGGAAAAGAAACUAACAAGGAUUUUCUUAGUAGCGGCGAGCGAAAAGAAAUCAGUUCAGCACUAAGUCACUUUGUCUAUAUGGCAAAUGUGAGAUGCAGUGUACGGAACAUCAACAUUCUAGUAUGAGAAGUUAACGAUUUAAGUCCUUCUUAAAUGAGGCCAUUUACCCAUAGAGGGUGCCAGGCCCGUAUAACGUUAAUGAUUACUAGAUGGUGUUUCCAAAGAGUCGUGUUGCUUGAUAGUGCAGCACUAAGUGGGUGGUAAACUCCAUCUAAAACUAAAUAUAACCAUGAGACCGAUAGUAAACAAGUACCGUGAGGGAAAGUUGAAAAGAACUCUGAAUAGAGAGUUAAAUAGUACGUGAAACUGCUUAGAGGUUAAGCCCGAUGAACCUGAAUAUCCGUUAUGGAAAAUUCAUCAUUAGAAUUGUAAUAUUUUAAACAAUAUUAUAAUAAUAGUGUGCAUUUUUUCCAUAUAAGGACAUUGUAAUCUAUUAGCAUAAAU